rnacentral:rRNA from 1 species
AGAGUUUGAUCAUGGCUCAGGACGAACGCUGGCGGCGUGCCUAAUACAUGCAAGUAGAACGCUGAAGAGAGGAGCUUGCUCUUCUUGGAUGAGUUGCGAACGGGUGAGUAACGCGUAGGUAACCUGCCUUGUAGCGGGGGAUAACUAUUGGAAACGAUAGCUAAUACCGCAUAACAAUGGAUGACCCAUGUCAUUUAUUUGAAAGGGGCAAAUGCUCCACUACAAGAUGGACCUGCGUUGUAUUAGCUAGUAGGUGAGGUAACGGCUCACCUAGGCGACGAUACAUAGCCGACCUGAGAGGGUGAUCGGCCACACUGGGACUGAGACACGGCCCAGACUCCUACGGGAGGCAGCAGUAGGGAAUCUUCGGCAAUGGGGGCAACCCUGACCGAGCAACGCCGCGUGAGUGAAGAAGGUUUUCGGAUCGUAAAGCUCUGUUGUGAGUCAAGAACGAGUGUGAGAGUGGAAAGUUCACACUGUGACGGUAGCUUACCAGAAAGGGACGGCUAACUACGUGCCAGCAGCCGCGGUAAUACGUAGGUCCCGAGCGUUGUCCGGAUUUAUUGGGCGUAAAGCGAGCGCAGGCGGUUUGAUAAGUCUGAAGUUAAAGGCUGUGGCUCAACCAUAGUUCGCUUUGGAAACUGUCAAACUUGAGUGCAGAAGGGGAGAGUGGAAUUCCAUGUGUAGCGGUGAAAUGCGUAGAUAUAUGGAGGAACACCGGUGGCGAAAGCGGCUCUCUGGUCUGUAACUGACGCUGAGGCUCGAAAGCGUGGGGAGCGAACAGGAUUAGAUACCCUGGUAGUCCACGCCGUAAACGAUGAGUGCUAGGUGUUGGAUCCUUUCCGGGAUUCAGUGCCGCAGCUAACGCAUUAAGCACUCCGCCUGGGGAGUACGACCGCAAGGUUGAAACUCAAAGGAAUUGACGGGGGCCCGCACAAGCGGUGGAGCAUGUGGUUUAAUUCGAAGCAACGCGAAGAACCUUACCAGGUCUUGACGUCCCGAUGCUAUUUCUAGAGAUAGAAAGUUACUUCGGUACAUCGGUGACAGGUGGUGCAUGGUUGUCGUCAGCUCGUGUCGUGAGAUGUUGGGUUAAGUCCCGCAACGAGCGCAACCCCUAUUGUUAGUUGCCAUCAUUCAGUUGGGCACUCUAGCGAGACUGCCGGUAAUAAACCGGAGGAAGGUGGGGAUGACGUCAAAUCAUCAUGCCCCUUAUGACCUGGGCUACACACGUGCUACAAUGGUUGGUACAACGAGUUGCGAGUCGGUGACGGCAAGCUAAUCUCUUAAAGCCAAUCUCAGUUCGGAUUGUAGGCUGCAACUCGCCUACAUGAAGUCGGAAUCGCUAGUAGUCGCGGAUCAGCACGCCGCGGUGAAUACGUUCCCGGGCCUUGUACACACCGCCCGUCACACCACGAGAGUUUGUAACACCCGAAGUCGGUGAGGUAACCUUUUGGAGCCAGCCGCCUAAGGUGGGAUAGACGAUUGGGGUGAAGUCGUAACAAGGUA